rnacentral:snoRNA from 1 species
UGGCGAUGAUUACAAUUUAUCCGCGCUUCUGAGAGAAAUCGAUGAAGCAUAAAGGAUAAAAAAAAUGGUUGAAUUUCUUGAUAUGAGCCA